rnacentral:ncRNA from 1 species
UACCUGUUUGAUCCUGCCAAUAGUCAUAUUCUUGUCUCAAAGAUUAAGCCAUAAUUGUCUAAGUACAUGCCUUCAUACAGUAAAACCGCGAAUCGCUCAUCAAAUCAGCUAUGGUUUAUUGGAUCAUACCCGUUAAUUUGAUAACGGUAAUAAAUCAAGAGCUAACACAUUCCCCGAAGCCCUGACCCGUGAGGGAAUGGGUGCACUUAUUAGAUCAGAUGCCAACGAGGUAGUCUUCUUCUGCCUUCGGGUGGGAGCUCCACUGCCUGUCAUCCUUCUGGUGGCUUUGGAUAAUUGUUACUUAUCGCAGUCGGUCUUGCGUCGGCGACGGGUCCUUAAAAUGUCUGCCCUAUCAACUUUCGAUGGUAGGUGACCUGCCUACCAUGGUGAUAACGGGUAACGCGUAAUCAGGGUUCGAUUCCGGAGAGCGAGCCUGAGAAACGAAUACCACUUCUAAGGGAGGCAGCAGGCGCGCAAAUUACCCACUUCCAGUACGGGGAGGUGGUGACGAAAUAUACCGAUGCGGGACUCUUAUUGAGGCUCCGUAAUCGGAAUGAGUGAACUCUAAAUCCUUUCACGAGGAUCAAAUGGAGGGCAAGUCUGGUGCCAGCAGCAACGGUAACUCCAGCUCAAAUNAGUUGGCGUGGCAGUGGUGUCACCUUUGAGCCCUGUCUGUGGUGAAAUACCCGCAGGUGUAGGCGAGUGUCAGGCGGUGCUCUGCGACAGUAGGGUCCGCGGUUCAUCUGCAUGCCUUUGGAUGCCCUUAAAAAGGUGUCUAUGGGUGGAUAGCACGUUUACUUUUAACAAAUUUGAGUGCUCAAACCAGGCCGAUGUUACCUGAAACGUUUUGCAUAGAAUAAUUGAAUAGGACUUCGGUUCUAUUUUGUUGGUUUUUGAUCCGAAGUAAUGAUCAAGAGAGACAGGCGGGGACGUUUGCAUGAUUGCACUAGAGGUGAAAUUCAUAGGCCAUAACCAGACAGACUAAAGCGUAAGCAUUCUUCAAGCAUGUUUUCAUUGGCCAUGAGCGAAAGUCAGAAGCUCGAAGACGAUCAGAGACCGUACUACAGACUUUUGGUCACUGCAAUCUUAC